GUUGGGCUACUGGAGUAUUAGCAGUCAAGGUUCGUCAAGAAAUUUUUCAAUUGUUACGACUCUUAUAACAAGUUUAGUAUAAUUCCUUCAACAUCCAGAGGACCUCAACAAAUAACUAAUAGAAAAUAGUGCAAUCACACUUGAGAGGCUUGCAUGGUUCUGUCCUGAGAUUGCAUCACCUCAUAUGGAGAAUUUCAUACAAUCAUGGUGUAUUGCUUUGUCUAUGAUUCAUGAUGAUAUUGAAACGGAGAAUGCUUUCCAAGGCCUAUGCACAAUGGCACGAUCAAAUUCUUCGAGAGCUUUAAAUUCACUUUUAUUCAAGUGUGAAGCUAUUCCAAGUUGGCAUGAAAUAAGGAGCAAAGAGCUACACAAUGGACUUUGUUAGGUCUUGUAUGGCUAUGAACAGUUUAUCUCGUGUAAUGCUAAUGCUCAGAUUACUGCAUCCUAUUCCAAUUGGAUUUAAAAAAAAAAACAGAAUUGAAAAAGAAUAUGAAGUAAGAGAAAUUACAAGACUCAAUUUUAACAAAUGAAUAAUAGGAAAGAGGAAGUUUGGCGAGCACAACGGUAAAGUUAGCGAGUCUCUUGCAAAGUCCACUAUUGCUUUUACGGAUGGUGUUUUUGAGCUAUUGGAAUUUCUUGAGGAAUCUACCAGCUAUUUGGAGAUAUGUGGGAGAUUGAAAUAUGGGUUUGCUUGAUUCCGUUAUAUGGUGGAGCAAUAUGAAAAAAUAGGUUUCUUUUUUAAUCUGGUUUUGGAAAUAGUAAUUUCCAAAUCAUAUGUCAGUUGAUCAUAGUACAUAGCACACCUAGCUCAAGAAAACUGUCUGUUGCAAACAGUGCUUGUUGGGCUACUGGAGUAUUAGCAGUCAAGUUAUAGGUUCGUCAAGAAAUUUUCCAAUUGUUACGACUCUUAUAACAAGUUUAGUAUAAUUCCUUCAACAUCCAGAGGACCUCAACAAAUAACUAAUAGAAAAUAGUGCAAUCACACUUGAGAGGCUUGCAUGGUUCUGUCCUGAGAUUGCAUCACCUCAUAUGGAGAAUUUCAUACAAUCAUGGUGUAUUGCUUUGUCUAUGAUUCGUGAUGAUAUUGAAACGGAGGAUUCUUUCCAAGGCCUAUGCACAAUGUUUAUCUCCUGUAAUGCUAAUGCUCAUAUUACUGCAUCCUACUCCAAUUGGAUUUAAAAAAAAAACAAAGACUUGAAAAAGAAUCUGAAGUAAGAGGCAACACUGCUGGGACAUUACAAGACUCCAUUUCAGCAAAUGAAUCAUAGGAAAGAGGAAGUUUGGCGAGCACAACGGUAAAGCUAGCGAAUCUCUUGCAAAGUCCACUAUUACUUUUACGGAUGGUGUUUUUGAGCUAUUGGAAUUUCUUGAGGCGAGAGACAUUCAUGUUCUCAUAUUUUUAAUAGAUAUCAUACAGGAGGUCCUCAGGCAGAAACUUCGCAGGUCUUUUAAAAAUUUCAAAGUUGUCUUAAAUAGAAUGAUAUUUGAUAAUGACGGGCGCCUCAUUUCUUUUAAAGGAAUAUACCAGCUGUUUGGAGAUAUGUGGGAGAUUGAAAAAUGGGUUUGCUUGUAUCUACUACUUUGAAGUUUAGUUAUUUUUUUGACCUUUGGUUAUCGGGUGUUGUGUCUCUACUUGUUUUUGUUUAAUGGUUAUAUGACCUUCCAGGAUUCCGUUAUAUGGUGGAGCAAUAUGAAAAAAUUAAGUUUCUUCAUAAAUAUGGUUUUAGCAACAGUAAUUUCCAAAUCAUAUCUCAGUUGAUCGUGUGAAGAGUUUUAUAUAAUUGGUAUUUUGGAUCUCGGAUCAGAUGAAAUCCAAGAUCAUCUUGCAAAAAAAUUUGUCUUUAAGAAAUCAUCAAAAUUAGGUGGUAAUUUUAGCUGGAUUAGGGGAGAUUGUGGAUACGGAACAUAAGCGACUUCUUUCUCGUAAAUAAAUUAUUGAGAAGAGGAAGGAGGAACAACAACGACAAGUACUGGAAAUGGAACGAGAGGAGUCGUGAAAGAGGCAUGCUUUUUAACUUGGGCAAAGGAAGAAAAACAAAAUGAUCCUUCAAGUGAGCAGCAGCUAGAGACUGAACUGAGGAGACAAUGUCAUGAUGGGAUUUCAUGAACGUGAGCAGCAGUUACCUCCUGUAAUGCUAAUGGUCAGAUUAAUGCAUCCAUUUUCAAUUUGAUUUGGUCAGAUUACUGCAUCCAUUUUCAAUUGGAUUUUUUUAAAUAAAGACUUGAAAAAGAAUCUGAAGCAAGAGGCCUCACAAUUGGAUAAUCCUGCUUUUGGCUUCUAGUCUAUAAACAGCUUUGCAUCUGUUGCUUGUAAUCAUGAUUAACGUAAUUUCUGCGGACAUUAAAAGACUCAAUUUCAGCAAAUGGAUAAUAAGAAAGAGGAAGUUUGGCGAGCAUAGCGGUAAAGGUGGGGGAAAAACCAUAGUCUUCUUCUUGAGGAAGGCCUUACAUAUGAUGCAAUUAGCGAGUCUCUUACAUAGUCCACUGUUCCUUUUGAGGAUGGUGUUGUUGAGCUAUUCGAAUUUCUUGAGGCGAGAGAUAUUCAUGUUCUCAUAUUUUCAGUAAAUAUCAUAGAGGAGGAAGAAAGUUCACAUGUCUUCUAAAAAUGUCAAAGUUGUCUCAAGCAGAAUGGUAUUUGACAAUGACGGCCGUCUCAUUUCUUUUGAAGGUCCUCCUAAUAUUUAGAUUGGCGUAUAAAAAUUUAAGCUAUAAAAUUCCACAAGCUGCUCGGAGCAUUAUGUGUUCACAAAGAAUGAAAAAUUAGGAAUCUACCAGUUGUUUGGAGAUAUGUGGGAGAUUGAAAAAUGGGUUUGUUUGAAGAUGCAGCUAAUUUCAAUUGUUACAGCUAAUCUCAUUGAAGAUGCAGAUGUGAAGCUUUUUUCCUCUGGAUCAACGAAUGUCAUCUGAAGCAGAACUGCCCUUCCGAGUCUUGGUCAGAUAAAGCUGUCGUUGAAUCAUCCCUUACUGAUCAUGAUGAUCU